AUUGGGUUUCUUGUCCUCAACAACAACUCCUGUACCCUAUAUUAUGACCUAGGCCUUCUACACCUGUAAGACACCCUCUCCCGCUGACUCUCCUGUAUGUCCAAGGAUCUUUUGUACAGCCACCAGGCCCGUGACAUCCAUGCAGUCUUCCCGUUAGGCAUCCUGGGUCUGACUGCCUUAGAUCCUCGCCUGAAACACCCACCACAGUGAGACCAACCAGAAGACUGCCGCUGCUAACACUUUCUGGAACAAUGGCACCGACAACAGGGUUUCAUUCAGACAGUUCAGACAGGAAGUAACCAACUCAGUAACUUCAGGAAGUCCCCGAAGCUGACCAUAUUCACGAGGCCCCCUCCUUCCUCAAGAGCACAUUUGCAGUAAAGUCUGGGGAGAUCCACUCUUAGAAAAGCUGGGCUCCCUAGAAGACCCACAGACAAGCUGAGCUGCUUAGGAGUGGCUCAGCUCAAGCUGCCUGGAAGAGAUGCAAGACCAAAUGAGCCAACUGCAAAAGACACUCCAACCCAUGGAGGGGGCCUACAGGCUGUGCAGUGGAAUCCAGGAUGCCCGCUUUUAUGAGCGGCCACCUAUGCUGGGGUGAUGCUUGGUGACGUCGCUGUCCUUGUGCCAUUCGUGCUCCUCUGAAGAUUGCAUCUAACCGCUGGGUGGAUCCAGAGACGCCUGGGUUAGCAUCACAGUUCUCUCCUGGGCUCUGAGCUCAGCUUCACUGUGAUGUCAGAGACGGAGCCUUGCACGGACCGCACCUGCUGAACAGAAUGGCUCCUGGAUAAAAGCCUCUUUUAAUCAGAGGCUUCCCAGACAGGGCACACCCAAAACCAAGGAAAGUCUCAAGUCGCUUGAACACUACAGAGCGAGUAAAAGUGGAAAGCGCCUUUGAUGAGGAGGUGUGUCACUGUGGGCGUGGGCUUCGAGGUCUCCUUUGCUUAAGAAGCCUGCAGUUCAUGAUGUGGAACUCUCAGCUCCUUCUCCAACACCGCGUCUGUCUGCACGCUGCCGUGCUUACCUCCAUGAUGAUAAUGAACUAAGCCUCCGAAACUGUAAGCGAGCU